UUAAGUUCAGCGGGUAUCCCUACCUGAUCCGAGGUCAACCUUGAGAAGUUGGGGGUUCUGGCGGGCAACCGGGCGGUCCCUCGAGCGAGAAGAAUUACUACGCUGAGAGCCGACCGGCGCUGCCACUAGAUUUGAGGGCCGCGAGACCGCGUGCCCCAACACCACGCCAGGCGUGAGUGGUCAUAAUGACGCUCGAACAG
rnacentral:misc_RNA from 1 species